rnacentral:rRNA from 1 species
UACGGAGGGUGCAAGCGUUAUCCGGAUUCACUGGGUUUAAAGGGUGCGUAGGUGGGCAGGUAAGUCAGUGGUGAAAUCUCCGGGCUUAACCCGGAGACUGCCGUUGAUACUAUUUGUCUUGAAUAUAGUGGAGGUGAGCGGAAUAUGUCAUGUAGCGGUGAAAUGCUUAGAUAUGACAUAGAACAUCGAUUGCGAAGGCAGCUCGCUACACUAUUAUUGACACUGAGGCACGAAAGCGUGGGGAUCAAACAGG